rnacentral:lncRNA from 12 species
AAUAUUGUGUACUAUUUUUUUGCAGGUGACAGUACUCCAGUGACACCACUUUACCUAAAGCUGGCAGAAUGAAAUCUGAUCUUGGGUAAGAGACCUAUAAGUUAUUGGAGGUGCUACUGUGACAAGCAUAAUUUGAUGGCCUCUUCCUUGCUGUUUCCUUUCAUCCUUUCCUUAAGGCAUUGCUGAUGAAGUUGAGCUGAAGGGUCUUUAUGGCAGAACGAUGAAUUCCAUCUUUUCCAGAAUGGUGCUUUGUCUCAGACAUAUGGAAUUCUCAUCUGCAGUUCUUACCUCCAGCCUCCCAAGUUAAUCACACAGGGCUUCUUGAAGAACAGCUUGUUGCACACACAAUUCUACAAUCUGGGCCUCAGUGAGUUAGUAUGAAUUUAUCAGAACAAUUAAAAACUGCUCCAAAAC